rnacentral:rRNA from 1 species
GAUGAACGCUGGCGGCGUGCUUAACACAUGCAAGUCGAACGGAAAGGCUCCUGCUUGCAGGGGUACUCGAGUGGCGAACGGGUGAGUAACACGUGGGUGAUCUGCCCUGCACUUCGGGAUAAGCCUGGGAAACUGGGUCUAAUACCGGAUAGGACGAUGGUUUGGAUGCCAUUGUGGAAAGUUUUUCGGUGUGGGAUGAGCUCGCGGCCUAUCAGCUUGUUGGUGGGGCAAUGGCCUACCAAGGCGUCGACGGGUAGCCGGCCUGAGAGGGUGUACGGCCACAUUGGGACUGAGAUACGGCCCAGACUCCUACGGGAGGCAGCAGUGGGGAAUAUUGCACAAUGGGCGCAAGCCUGAUGCAGCGACGCCGCGUGGGGGAUGACGGCCUUCGGGUUGUAAACUCCUUUCGCUAGGGACGAAGCGCAAGUGACGGUACCUGGAGAAGAAGCACCGGCUAACUACGUG